GAUGAAGAACGUAGCGAAAUGCGACAAGUAAUGUGAAUUGCAGAAUUCCGUGAAUCAUCGAGUCUUUGAACGCACAUUGCGCCCCCUGGUAUUCCGGGGGGCAUGCCUGUCCGAGCGUCAUUGCUGCCCUCAAGCACGGCUUGUGUGUUGGGCCCCGUCCUCCGAUCCCGGGGGACGGGCCCGAAAGGCAGCGGCGGCACCGCGUCCGGUCCUCGAGCGUAUGGGGCUUUGUCACCCGCUCUGUAGGCCCGGCCGGCGCUUGCCGAUCAACCCAAAUUUUUAUCCAGGUUGACCUCGGAUCAGGUAGGGAUACCCGCUGAACUUAAGCAUAUCAAUAAGCGGAGGA
rnacentral:misc_RNA from 1 species